GUGAGUCAUCGAAUCUUUGAACGCACAUUGCACCCUAUGGUAUUCCGUAGGGUAUGCCUGUUCGAGCGUCAUUAUAACCCCCCUCUAGCGGAUGCUAGGACUUGGGCGGCGCCGGUCGGCGCCCCUGAAAUCUUGACAGCAGCACGGUUGUGCCCUGAGCGUAGUAAUCUCUCUCGCUAUAGGGACCGGUUGUGGCGCUGUAUAAGCCCUUCUUAAGGUUGACCUCGGAUCAGGUAGGGAUACCCGCUGAACUUAAGCAUAUCAAUAAGCGGAGGA
rnacentral:misc_RNA from 1 species